rnacentral:rRNA from 1 species
CCCCUAGAUGUUCUGGGCCGCACGCGCGCUACACUGAACAGUUCAACAAGUCUUAACCUUGGCCGAUAGGUCUGGGUAAUCUUUGAACGCUGUUCGUGAUUGGGAUAGACCUUUGCAAUUAUGGGUCUUCAACGAGGAAUUCCUAGUAAACGCAAGUCAUCAGCUUGCAUUGAUUACGUCCCUGCCCUUUGUACACACCGCCCGUCGCACCUACCGAUUGAAUGGUCCGGUGAAAUCUCGGGACGGCGGCUUGGUCGCUUGCGUCCGACUUCUGAAACUUGAUUAAACCAUAUCAUUUAGAGGAAGGUGAAGUCGUAACA